CUGAGAGAGACAAGGGACUGAGAGAGACAAAGGACUGAGAGAGACAUGGAACUGAGAGAGACAAGGGACUGAGAGAGACAUGGAACUGAGAGAGACAAGGGACUGAGAGAGACAAAGGACUGAGAGAGACAUGGAACUGAGAGAGACAAGGGACUGAGAGAGACAUGGAACUGAGAGAGACAAGGGACUGAGAGAGACAAGGAACUGAGAGAGACAAGGGACUGAGAGAGACAAGGGACUGAGAGAGACAAGGGACUGAGAGAGACAUGGAACUGAGAGAGACAAGGGACUGAGAGAGAC